GUUACGUAUACGUCGACAUUAAUAAUCUGUCAAAACCGUAAACACAUUAUUUUCAUAACGCAAUUUUGCGAGAGUUCCUAUUAGUUGAAAAAAAUUAAAUUUUUGUGUGCAAACUGAAACGCAAAAUGGUUUAGUGCGAUGUAUGCCAGCAGAAUAUUUCGGGAAACAUUUACAAGCACAAAAGAGUUGAGCACAGUUGGGAUCGAGGUGGUAUUAAAUUGAUUAAACAGGAAGAUAAAACUCUGAUCGAAGCUAUACAAAACGAAAAAACAUUCGUUGGACCUUCGCUGUUAUAUUUGAAACGUCUCGCAAAUUAUGCGGUAACACAAAAUUUUCAAGCCACAUUUUUUGGAGUCGACUC